AGAGCCCUGAUACUUUCCGCUUCACAGUGGACUCAGAUGACUCACCCUCUCAAGAGGCGAAGUUUUACUACACCGACUACGACAACUGCGCUAUUCUCGACAUUCCGUACGACGGACGCCAAUGCAUCCUGUGGACGAAGGAAACAGCCAAAGAUGCAGUGCCCGAAAAAUGCUUGGAUGAGUUCAUGAAGAAUUGUGGUGUCGGCGCCCCACUUUAUAAGGAUGACCUAUGCAGUGGUGAUGAAGUUGCCGAAUGGUGAUGAUGAAAGGACUGAUCUUAUUGCCAGCAGGCUGAGAAGUACAAAUCUUUGGCUUCUCCUUCAACACUUGCAGCGUAGGCAUAAAUGCAACUGUCUAAUAAAUAUUCAAGAACAC
rnacentral:lncRNA from 1 species